rnacentral:rRNA from 1 species
GAUAAACGCUGGCGGCGUGCCUAAUACAUGCAAGUCGAGCGAACGGACGAGAAGCUUGCUUCUCUGAUGUUAGCGGCGGACGGGUGAGUAACACGUGGAUAACCUACCUAUAAGACUGGGAUAACUUCGGGAAACCGGAGCUAAUACCGGAUAAUAUUUUGAACCGCAUGGUUCAAAAGUGAAAGACGGUCUUGCUGUCACUUAUAGAUGGAUCCGCGCUGCAUUAGCUAGUUGGUAAGGUAACGGCUUACCAAGGCAACGAUGCAUAGCCGACCUGAGAGGGUGAUCGGCCACACUGGAACUGAGACACGGUCCAGACUCCUACGGGAGGCAGCAGUAGGGAACCUUCCGCAAUGGGCGAAAGCCUGACGGAGCAACGCCGCGUGAGUGAUGAAGGUCUUCGGAUCGUAAAACUCUGUUAUUAGGGAAGAACAUAUGUGUAAGUAACUGUGCACAUCUUGACGGUACCUAAUCAGAAAGCCACGGCUAACUACGUGCCAGCAGCCGCGGUAAUACGUAGGUGGCAAGCGUUAUCCGGAAUUAUUGGGCGUAAAGCGCGCGUAGGCGGUUUUUUAAGUCUGAUGUGAAAGCCCACGGCUCAACCGUGGAGGGUCAGUGGAAACUGGAAAACUUGAGUGCAGAAGAGGAAAGUGGAAUUCCAUGUGUAGCGGUGAAAUGCGCAGAGAUAUGGAGGAACACCAGUGGCGAAGGCGACUUUCUGGUCUGUAACUGACGCUGAUGUGCGAAAGCGUGGGGAUCAAACAGGAUUAGAUACCCUGGUAGUCCACGCCGUAAACGAUGAGUGCUAAGUGUUAGGGGGUUUCCGCCCCUUAGUGCUGCAGCUAACGCAUUAAGCACUCCGCCUGGGGAGUACGACCGCAAGGCUGAAACUCAAAGGAAUUGACGGGGACCCGCACAAGCGGUGGAGCAUGUGGUUUAAUUCGAAACAACGCGAAGAACCUUACCAAAUCUUGACAUCCUUUGACAACUCUAGAGAUAGAGCCUUCCCCUUCGGGGGACAAAGUGACAGGUGGUGCAUGGUUGUCGUCAGCUCGUGUCGUGAGAUGUUGGGUUAAGUCCCGCAACGAGCGCAACCCUUAAGCUUAGUUGCCAUCAUUAAGUUGGGCACUCUAAGUUGACUGCCGGUGACAAACCGGAGGAAGGUGGGGAUGACGUCAAAUCAUCAUGCCCCUUAUGAUUUGGGCUACACACGUGCUACAAUGGACAAUACAAAGGGCAGCGAAACCGCGAGGUCAAGCAAAUCCCAUAAAGUUGUUCUCAGUUCGGAUUGUAGUCUGCAACUCGACUACAUGAAGCUGGAAUCGCUAGUAAUCGUAGAUCAGCAUGCUACGGUGAAUACGUUCCCGGGUCU